CAUAACUAAGGCCAGCAUUACCCCAAAGCCAGCUGGGACGGCUUUGCUAAGGCUCUGUCCUCUUGAGGGGAAAAUAUGAGUCUGAGUCAGGGCCUUGUGGCCAGCGCCUCUGCCCUCAAGCAGACACGACCCUGACCAAGAAACUGCCCAAGAAGACAAUGCCCCCAGCCCACCCUGGUGGCUGCUCCACACGUCCGAAGCGUGCACGAGAAGGUCAAGGCAGGAACUUCAGCCGGGUCUCGCCAUGAUGGAACAUGGAAAGCAACCUAGAUCCUUCUCGGCCUCUGUAUCAGCUCCCAAGAUCCUGCAUGUUAGAACCGUGGUUGUCAACCUUGAAUUUGUAUCAGAUGAAAUUCCAAGAGCUUCAGAUUCAGCAGUUAGGUUGGGGCCCAAGAAUUUGCGUUUCUACCCAGUUCCUACUUCUAGGAUGUUCUGAUGUUGGGCCGGGCGCGGUGGCUCACUCCUGUAAUCCCAACACUUUGGGAGGCCGAGGCGGGCGGAUCACAAGGUCAGAAGAUCGAGACCAUCCUGACUAACACGGUGAAACCCCGUCCCUACUAAAAAUACAAAAAAUUAGCGGGACGUGGUGGCGGACGCCUGUAGUCCCAGUUACUCGGGAGGCUGAGGCAGGAGAAUCGCUUGAACCCGGGAGGCAGUUA
rnacentral:lncRNA from 1 species